CAGCCUGUCGAUCCUAUCCCCGAUCUCCAUCAUCUCGAUAGUUCUUUCGUUGCCGCCGCCGCCGUACGAGGGGAGACCCCGCCGCCGCCGAGGGGAGGGGACGAAACCGCCGAGGGGAGAUGCCGCCGCCUCCGUCCGAGGGGAGAAGCAGGGGAGAAGCUGUCGUCCGAGGGGAGACCCUGCCGCCGCGGAUCCAGGGCAGGGCGGCUUGAAUCCCUGUCCCCGAGGUCGCCCCCGCCGAUCUCCUGGAGACGGCGUCACCGUCGCCGCGUCUCCAGGCCAGGGCAGUUUCAAUUCACCUCACCCUCCAGAGGGGCUCCGAGACCAGGCCGAGAUCCCCUGUAGCCUGGGAGGAGUUCAGUGACCCGUCCGAAGCGGAGCUCGUCUGCGACCACACGCUCUGGGCGGUCCUGCAGGAGGCCUUCGACUGUAGCAACGUGGACAUCUACGGGAGGCUGGCGAUUGGGAAAUCUACCGCAUUAUUCUUGUGUGAAGAGUGGACUGCCACACCUGUUUGCGAAGCCCUUGGUGACAUUGCUGAUGUAUCUGUGGCAGGUAUGAUUAUCUCGAAGAUUAUCUUUUGCCUGACACUCUUCUUAGUCUUUACUGCUGGUCUCAACUGACCUCAUAUAUUUUCAUCUCUCCCCACCAUUGAAGUACUAGCUAUUUGUUCUGGGGUCAAAGGAUUAUGUAAUGGUGCAAGGUGAGAUACUUGAAGGUCUGGUUGCCUGUAUUGUCAGUCGUGAAAGUUUUGAGAAACCUCCCACAACCUUCAUUAGAUAUCCUAACAGAUUUUCUGAUGCAUUUGAACAUUUUCUGAGAUUGUUUGAUGCUUCUGAUCUGUGAAGUUGAAAACACUUUAUAUACCUACUGAUUCAGAAAGCUACCAUUAUAUGCAGGCGACUCUGAUUUAGGACCAAGUUUAUGACAAAUAUAUGCUGCUAAUAGGUCAGAUGAGAAGCAGCAAAUGAAAGCACUUCUUGAAAAUGUUGGAUCUUCAAUGUGUUCGGACCACUGUGAUUGGUUUGGAAACAGUGGUCUUGAGGCUCUGUCUCGAAAUGUUGAUACAUUACCCGUCAUCCAUUUUCUGCAAGUGCGUCCAACGAACUAUGAAAUUAAGAAAUUACAGGAGAUGUUUCAUCUGGUGAAGCAGAAAAAUUUCCCUGCAGCUUUCAGAUGUUACUGGAAUAAUCAAAAAUUUGAUUCUCUUUCAAAUGAUUACUUGUAUUACAAGAUGCUUAUCCAUGGGCACAGUGAUUCUGCUUUUGGACAUUUGCAGCAAGAGAUGAGUAAAUUUGCGAAAUCAUCCUUGUAUUACAAGAUGCUUAUCCAUGGACGUUUAAAUUUUCACCCCUCUUUAAAAAUAUAAUGCCUUCAUUCAGACGUUAUGAUUUUUUUCUCUCGCUUUUGCCAUUGUUUAUUUCUCACCUACCUUCACCACUUAUGAUUAAAUCCGCAUACUAAAUCUUCUCUCCUUCCCUAGACAAUGACUUCAUGGCUACCAUGACCAUUUUCCUAUACUAUUAAUGGCUUAUUUAUUUCCCAUGUCUGAAUAAGUUACGCUUUAUAAUAUGAGAUAGAGUAUCUCAUUAGUAUAUGGAAAUAUCUCUUCUUUCUUCUUUUUUUUUAGAUUUAUUAACUCUAAUGGAUCCCCCAUUUUCCUUUCUAGGAAAAAUCAAGAGUUAUGGCUACUAUACAGAGGUUUCUUCGUUGAAGUAAACAUGUUCAAGGGGAAUAAUAAGAUGCCUGCUGAACUUUCUGAAGAUGUCCACACUUACACUGAAAAAUAUCGGUGGUGCUUUGGAUUCAAUUAGUCCGCUAAGGACGGUCUGGCUGAUGAGGAUUCAAAUCUGAUGGUUAAACUAAAAUUCCUGACCUAUAAGGUAUUUUGCUAUAGUUCUCUUCUUCAUUUUGGACUUUGCUCGUUGGUACAUUUUGAGAUAUGAAUACUAUGCUGGUUACCUUAGAUUGGUUACUUUCAUGUUGAAUUUGGUGCACUUCUAAAAUUAAGUUUUCAAUGACACUAAUAUUCUUAUGGUUGUGCAUUCCAGUUAUGUCCAUCUGAUCUCCCUCUGAUGUUUCUCUGUGGACUUCCUUUCCUUAAGUACAUAUUUUAUUCUUGCGCUUGGGAGAGGCCUACAACUCGUGGAGUGGUUUCAUACGCUUUUCAGGGCUGCACUUUUUCCAUGGUGGAGCAAGCACGCAUGUUGGAAGAUGAGGAAUACGAGUUUUUGCACGUGACAUAUUCGAUGAAAUGCAGUGCAGGUACUAUGUUCUCGUGCGUUUGGUUCUCCAUACUGUAGUCUGUUUGUACGAGCGCAUUUGUAAUGCUGCUCACUAACCUAUAUUGGAGUCAUAUUUAUUUUAUUUGUAUGCUACCGGCGGUGAAGUAAGGUCCCGCUACAUCAUCGAACUGUUGCAGUGCUGGGGUGUGAAAUUGGACCCAAUAGUGACUACAAUGAUUUCUUCUCCAAAAUAAUUAUCUAGAUCACACUUCAGCCGCUCCAAUCAACACCACCACAUUCUACAUAUUCAUUCCAGUUAGAGCCCUCAUUGAAAGUCUAAAAGGUACUCUCUUGUAUUUAGUUGGGCUUCACUUUCAUGUACCUUAUAAGGUAGGUUUUUGUGUCAUGGGAGCGUAUUAUAUAGGAUGAGAAAAUCUAGACCGUGGUUCUCAUAGGGAGCCAGUACUCUAGCUAAUUGUUAAGGUAAAUUGAUCGCUUAUUCUGCCUUGCAAAACUGACCAUAUCUUCUUGUUGUAAUCUGUCGAUUGUACCAUUAUAGCUUCAGUAGUUGCCAUCCAAAAUAAAAAACAUGAUCAGUGUACACACGUCAUUAGCUUUCUAUUAUAGCAAAAUUUUGAAUUGUGCCAUUUAUUUUUAGAUGUCAUAGUUUUCAGAGAGUCAUUGCCCUGCUUCAGAGCUGGUAUUUCAAGCAACCGAAAUAUGGAUUUUUGGUGAGCUGCACAUGCUCUUGUUGAGUUGGUUCUUUGGCAGGUAUGUCGCUUUUUAUUGUUUUUUGUAGAUUUUGUUGUGAUCGUCAUUUAGAGGUGUAGGGUUCAUAUCGGCAGCUAGCAAAGCAACUGAUUUGUUAUUUUCUUGUCAUUUGUGGGGUGACUCUUAUGACUCCAUAAAAAGGGUAAUCGUACAUAGGUGUCUUUAGUCUGUAUGUUCCAUGUAUGCAACUGAUGGUCUGCAUCUCCUAUUGCCACGGGAAAAAUAAAUAAAAGGGUGGCUCCAUUGUUGCUUUUGGUGUAAGUUAUCCUCUGCAUUUGAAAGUGCCUUCAAGACGGUGUUGGCUGCUAGGAAGGGCCUAUAUAUGGAGAGUGUUUAUCCAAGAUAAGAGGGCAUGAUUUUGGUGAGGCUUAACUCGGCUCAAAAUACAUUUCUGGUUUGGUCUAGCGUCUAAGGAGAAUUUGCAUGUGCACAUUUUGGUGAUUCAUUUUCCUUAAUUGUUCUCCUUUGCUUAUAAUCCAGAUAACUUCAUGUUACGAUAGGGGCAACAGCAUUGAAGGACUUUGUGUUUUUCACUAUCUCCCUUUUACCAGCAAGACUUUGAUGAAUUGACACAGCUGUCUGAUAUUUUGGGAUCGCUACUACAGGAGGAAACAUUAGCCAGAAGGACCGAUUGUUGUUCUCACAGCGGCGGGCCGUUAUUCUUCAGCAUCAUAUUACAAGUUCAUGUUUGAAGGUUUAGCUACCUCGCCCCUUUUCAAUGGAAUUUGUUUUAGUAGAGGGUUAUGGUUUAAGCGAAUUGAGAUUGCUUUUAUUUGUCUGAGGGACUUUCCAAACGUGUAUAUGGAUUAUGAGCAUGAAAAUGUAGAAUCAAAUAUUUUUAAUGUCAAUAGUGAAAUUAUUUUGGAGUUGGAAA